CCUACGGGAGGCAGCAGUGGGGAAUUUUCCGCAAUGGGCGAAAGCCUGACGGAGCAACGCCGCGUGAGGGAUGAAGGCCUCUGGGCUGUAAACCUCUUUUAUCAAGGAAGAAGAUCUGACGGUACUUGAUGAAUAAGCCACGGCUAAUUCCGUGCCAGCAGCCGCGGUAAUACGGGAGUGGCAAGCGUUAUCCGGAAUUAUUGGGCGUAAAGCGUCCGCAGGCGGUCUUGUAAGUCUGUCGUUAAAGCGUGGAGCUUAACUCCAUUUCGGCGGUGGAAACUACAAGACUAGAGUGUGGUAGGGGCGAGAGGGAAUUCCCGGUGUAGCGGUGAAAUGCGUAGAUAUCGGGAAGAACACCAGUGGCGAAGGCGCUCUGCUGGGCCAUAACUGACGCUCAUGGACGAAAGCUAGGGGAGCGAAAGGGAUUAGAUACCCCUGUAGUCCUAGCCGUAAACGAUGAACACUAGGUGUCGGGGGAAUCGACCCCCUCGGUGUCGUAGCUAACGCGUUAAGUGUUCCGCCUGGGGAGUACGCACGCAAGUGUGAACUCAAAGGAAUUGACGG
rnacentral:rRNA from 1 species